rnacentral:rRNA from 1 species
CCUACGGGUGGCAGCAGUGAGGAAUAUUGGUCAAUGGACGAGAGUCUGAACCAGCCAAGUAGCGUGAAGGAUGACUGCCCUAUGGGUUGUAAACUUCUUUUAUAUGGGAAUAAAAUGUUCCACGUGUGGGAUUUCGUAUGUACCAUAUGAAUAAGGAUCGGCUAACCCCGUGCCAGCAGCCGCGGUAAUACGGAGGAUCCGAGCGUUAACCGGGUUUAUUGGGUUUAAAGGGAGUCUAGGUGGUUUGUUAAGUCAGUUGUGAAAGUUUGCGGCUCAACCGUAAAAUUGCAGUUGAUACUGGCAGUCUUGAGUAAGAUAGAGGUGAGCGGAAUUCGUGGUGUAGCGGUGAAAUGCUUAGAUAUCACGAAGAACUCCAAUUGCGAAGGCAGCUCACUGGGCUGCAACUGACACUGAGGCUCGAAAGUGUGGGUAUCAAACAGGAUUAGAUACCCCAGUAGUC